AGUCCUGGUGCACGAGCUGAUCCUGGAGGUCGGGGAAGACAUCGUGUCACAGACUAUGAAAGAAAGACAGAAAAGCAUUUUAUCUAAGAGAGUUAAUGACUACAUUACUCAAGGAGAGUGGGAAAAAUGUUUGGAUGUUGUUGAAGACUUCAUUGACCCAACAGGAGAACACUCGGAUCCGGUGUCUUCGAUCAGCAACCUUACUGUAGUAACUGAAGGCCAGCACAAGGACCUCUGCCAGCAGGGGGAACAAGAACAAAGAUUGCCGCUAUGAUAGUUAUUUCUCAAAUAUCACCACC